CCAGACUCCUACGGGAGGCAGCAGUGGGGAAUAUUGCACAAUGGGGGAAACCCUGAUGCAGCAACGCCGCGUGAGUGAAGAAGUAUUUCGGUAUGUAAAGCUCUAUCAGCAGGGAAGAAAAUGACAGUACCUGACUAAGAAGCCCCGGCUAACUACGUGCCAGCAGCCGCGGUAAUACGUAGGGGGCAAGCGUUAUCCGGAUUUACUGGGGGUAAAGGGGGCGCAGACGGCGAUGCAAGCCAGGAGUGAAAGCCCGGGGCCCAACCCCGGGACUGCUCUUGGAACUGCGUGGCUGGAGUGCAGGAGGGGCAGGCGGAAUUCCUGGUGUAGCGGUGAAAUGCGUAGAUAUUAGGAGGAACACCGGUGGCGAAGGCGGCUUACUGGACUGUAACUGACGUUGAGGCUCGAAAGCGUGGGGAGCAAACAGGAUUAGAUACCCGCGUAU
rnacentral:rRNA from 1 species